rnacentral:sRNA from 1 species
AAUGCGAUUUCUUUCCACAUAUCAAACGGGUGCUCGACGAUGUUGUACAAUGCUUUUCCAGAAAAAUGCCAAGUCAAUAAGAGCCACGUUGAUGAGCACAACGGCAGCGGCAGAGGAGUCACGAAAAAUAGUGAAAGAAGAGGUUUUUGAGGUAAAAAAUGUGAAAAAAAAGGAAAAAAGAGAAAAAAAGAGGAAAAAAAACGAAAAAAAAAGGAAAAAAGAGGAAAAAAGGAAAAAAGAGGAAAAAGAGGAAAAAGGAAAAAAAUGAGAAAAAAAGGAAAAGAAAAGAGAAUUUUUUUUAAAGAGAAAAAAAUGAAAAAAAAAACAAAAAAGAAAGAAAAAAGAAAAAAAAUCAUUUUUUUUUCAUUUUUUUUUCUUUCUUUUCAUUCUUUCUUCAUUUUUUUUUCCUUUUUUUUUCUUCUUUUUUUCACUUUUCGUUAUAAAUAUUCUCUUAGACGUAAAAAAUCGUGAAAAUUUAGAAUUUUUCUGUCUCAAAGUCCAAUUUUCAGCAAGGGAAAAAAACGGAAAAAAAUGAAAAAAGAAAAGAAAAGAGGAAAAAAAGGUAAAAAGAACGAAAAAAAAAUGAAAAUAGAAAAGAAAAGAGGAAAAUAACGAAAAAAAAAACAAAAAAAAUGAAAAAAAAUUUUUAAAAAAUGAAAAGAAAGAGAAAAAAAAAUGAAAAAAGGAAGAAAAAAAACGAAAAAAGAAAGAAAAAAAACAAAAAAGGAAGAAAAAAAUCAAAAAAGAAAGAACAAAACAAAAAAAAAUGAAAAGAAAGAGAAAAAAAAACGAAAAAAGAAAAGAAAAAAAUGAAAAAAAAUGAAAAGAAAGGGGAAAAAAAACGAAAAAAAAAAUGAAAAAAGGAAGAAAAAAAAAGAAAAUUUUCCUUUUUUUUUGCUUUUCCCCCAUUUUUCAUUCCAAAACCGCGAAAAUGUCCAAUUUUUUUUUCAGUUAGAUGGUCGAAAAUACACUCCAGACGCAUUAUACAACCUGUCACCAGGUGUUCGACGGCUUUUGGAUCGCCGUAUCCUCCAAGAAUCUUCGAAUCCGCUGAAUUUGUUGAAAAGAAGAAUUGUCGAUUAUGUACAUCAAACAUACAGAAAACCAGGUAAAAAAAAUACGUGAAAAUUGAAGAAAAAUCAAUGAAAUUUCAGAAAACUCGAUAAAUUUCCAGAAAAAUCGAUAAAUUUCCAGAAAAAUCAAUAAAUUUCAGAAAAAUCAAUAAAUUUUGUAAAAAAUUUUUUUCUCAAAUGUUAUUGAUUUUUCUGGAAAUUUAUUGAUUUUUCUGGAAAUUUAUUGAUUUUUCUGGAAAUUUAUUGAUUUUUCUGGAAUUUUCACCUUUUUUCCAGGAAAUCGCUCGCCACUCUUCACAAUUUGUGAAUCCGAGCCUCGUGUCGUCACUACUUAUCAGAAUUUCGACUCUUUACUGACACCGGAGGAUCAUGUGUCAAGGUUGGGAUAAAAAUGAGGAUUUUUUGCGGAAAAUUGGGUUUUGAGACUGAAAAAUUCGAGUUUUUCACGAUUUUUUACGUCUGAGAGAAUUUUUUUUUUCAAAAUGAACAAAGAAUGAAAAAAAAACGAAAAAAGAAUGAAAAAAAACGAAAAAAGAAUGAAAAAAGAAUAGAAGAAAUGAAAAAAAAAAAGAAAAAAGAAUGAAAAAAAAGAAAAAACAUGAAAAAAAAAGAAAAAUAGGAAAAAAUGAAAAAAGAAUAAAAAAGAUUGAAAAAAGAAUGAAAAAAAUGAUAAAAGAAUGAAAAAAGAAUGAAAAAGGAAUGAAAAAGGAAUGAAAAAAAAAGAAAAAAAAAUAUAACGAAAAAAAAACGAAAAAAGAAUGAAAAAAAAAACGAAAAAAGAAUUAAAAAAGAAUGGAAAUAAAAACGAAAAAAAAAUGAAAAAAGAAUGAAAUUUUUUUUUCUUUUUUCGUUUAUUUCUCUUUUUUUUGUUUUUUUUUUGCAUUUUUUUUCAUUCUUUUUUCAUUUUUUUUCGUUUUUUUUCCCUUUUUUUAAAAAUUUUUCUCCUUUUUUUUAACUUUGCAUCAUUUUUUCUAAUGAAAAUGAAAAAAAUAAAUAAAAUUGUAGUGAAAAAUCCGAAAUUACCAGUUUUAAAACCAAAUUUUAAGCCUAAAACGUCAAAUUUCAGUCCAAAAAUCGAAAAAAAAAUUUUAGACGUCCCUCAGAUACGUACUACGUGAACCAUGAGCACUGCUUGCGAGCCCAUACCUCGGCUCACCAGCACAAUUUAAUGCAAUCGGGUCUCGACGCGUUUUUAGUGAUUGGAGACGUCUAUCGGAGGGAUGAAGUCGAUCGGACACAUUAUCCAUGCUUCCAUCAGG